GCUGCACAGCUAUUUUCAGGUCUCUCCAGAGAUGUUCGAUCGGGUUCAAGUCCGGGCUCUGGCUGGGCCACUCAAGGACAUUCAAAGACUUGCCCCAUAGCCACUCCUACGUUCUCUUACCUGUUACCUGUUCAACGCCCAUAACACCCUCACACACAUUACCACCAACAGGUAACACACACACACUCUGACAUUACCACCAACAGGUAACACACACACUCUGACAUUACCACCAACAGGUAACACACACACUCUGACAUUACCACCAACAGGUAACACACACUCUCACAUUACCACCAACAGGUAACACACACACUCUCACAUUACCACCAACAGGUAACACACACACUCUGACAUUACCACCAACAGGUAACACACACACUCUCACAUUACCACCAACAUGUAACACACACACUCUCAUAUUACCACCAACAGGUAACACACACACUCUCACAUUACCACCAACAGGUAACCCACACACUCUGACAUUACCACCAACAGGUAACACACACACUCUCACAUUACCACCAACAUGUAACACACACACUCUCACAUUACCACCAACAGGUAACACACACACUCUGACAUUACCACCAACAGGUAACACACACACUCUCACAUUACCACCAACAGGUAACACACAC
rnacentral:lncRNA from 1 species